CCUACGGGAGGCAGCAGUGGGGAAUAUUGGACAAUGGGCGAAAGCCUGAUCCAGCAAUUCCGCGUGUGUGAAGAAGGCCUUCGGGUUGUAAAGCACUUUAGUUGGGGAAGAAACAGCUUGGCCACACCAAGCCUUGACGGUACCCAAAGAAUAAGCACCGGCUAACUCUGUGCCAGCAGCCGCGGUAAUACAGAGGGUGCAAGCGUUAAUCGGAUUUACUGGGCGUAAAGGGUGCGUAGGUGGUUUUGUAAGUCGGAUGUGAAAGCCUGGGGCUCAACCUCAGAAUUGCACUCGAUACUGCAAGACUAGAGUUCGGUAGAGGGCGGCGGAAUUCCCGGUGUAGCGGUGAAAUGCGUAGAUAUCGGGAGGAACAUCAAUGGCGAAGGCAGCCGCCUGGGCCUGAACUGACACUGAGGCACGAAAGCGUGGGUAGCAAACAGGAUUAGAUACCCUGGUAGUCCACGCUGUAAACGAUGAGAACUUGACGUUGGUUCGUUUUACGAAUCGGUGUCGCAGCUAACGCGAUAAGUUCUCCGCCUGGGGAGUACGGCCGCAAGGUUGAAACUUCAAAAGUGUAAGUGGCGUGNGAGAGCGACGACGACGACGACGGAGGAGGAGG
rnacentral:rRNA from 1 species